rnacentral:rRNA from 1 species
GAUGAACGCUAGCUACAGGCUUAACACAUGCAAGUCGAGGGGAAACGGCAUUGAGUGCUUGCACUCUUUGGACGUCGACCGGCGCACGGGUGAGUAACGCGUAUCCAACCUUCCCAUUACUGUGGGAUAACCUGCCGAAAGGCAGACUAAUACCGCAUAGUCUUCGAUGACGGCAUCAGAUUUGAAGUAAAGAUUUAUCGGUAAUGGAUGGGGAUGCGUCUGAUUAGCUUGUUGGCGGGGUAACGGCCCACCAAGGCUACGAUCAGUAGGGGUUCUGAGAGGAAGGUCCCCCACAUUGGAACUGAGACACGGUCCAAACUCCUACGGGAGGCAGCAGUGAGGAAUAUUGGUCAAUGGACGGAAGUCUGAACCAGCCAAGUAGCGUGCAGGAUGACGGCCCUAUGGGUUGUAAACUGCUUUUGUAUGGGGAUAAAGUUAGGGACGUGUCCCUAUUUGCAG